GGAGCUGUGGUUCCCAUCUCCAUGAUACACACUGCUCGCUGCCCAAUGGUCACAGAGAAACGCACACACCAGGAAUCUCACGGUAAGCGAAACAUGACAAGUGUGAUCAGUGCUGCAAAGAGAAAUCAUGGUGCCAUGCAGCUCUUUCAGAAGGUCCCUGGAAAGGGGACCUGAAACUCUGUGAUCCAAGGAAAUAAUUAGGCAGAAGGGAAGGAAGAGUUCACCGAGCAAAGCUGCGGCAGAGGCAGCCUGGUAAGGAAGGCGAGAGAUGGUACAGCUGCUGCAGGUCUUAGUGGAUGGCUAUGGAGACCGACAACAAGGAGAUAAAAGUGGAGAUGGGGGCUUAAAAUCCUGGCACGGCAACCGUUUCUCCUACAAAAUACUUUCCUUGAGCUGACUGACACAGAAACUUCAAGAGAGAAAGAACCGUGCUCCAUUCUGAAGGUUUUCCUUUGCUUUGCCUCUGCUCCAUCCCCUGAGCUCAGAAAGCUGCUUCAGAAGCCUCACCGUGGUUGUCUGCGCCUGCACAGCAAUGUGCAAUGGUUCCAUCCACUCAGCGGGUCUCAUCAAGUUACGGCUAGCAAUGCCCAACUCCAGCAUACUACUGCAGCGAUGCACUUAACAGCCAAGAAGGGGGACUUCUCCGGUCAACCUCAAGGAGUCUUCUGUUCCCCGCAGGAAAAUCAACCAUAAUAAUGGCAGGAGUGUGUUUGGUCAGGAAAAUGGUUGCCAAGAGAGUUGGACUUGAGUAUUUUGAUUGCAGUAUUACAGCUUGUGAAAUUGCCUUUCUCUUCUGAAGAAAAUCAUCUGUACUUGGGCCAGACUUGGUUUCCCUUUCCCUGGAGUUUACAACCUGGAAAACUUCAGGUUGGCCCCAGAUCAUCAUGCUGAGAAGAGUCAGGUGUUGGGGACAGACAACCCAUCUAGGCUGGAGAAACGUUCUCUCUUGGGACACUAAGUGGGGCAAGAACAUAGGGAACCAUAACCAAGAGAAUGGCUGAGUCCUUGCUCUGGGUGCAAAGCCAGGCUCCACCACUGCCCAGCUAUGUGACCUUGGUCUGGUUAAACAUCCUCUCUGAGCAAAAGUUGUAUUGCCUAUAAAAUGAGGUAAUAAAGUUUCUGGGGGACUUAACUAUAAAACAAUACACAGUGU
rnacentral:lncRNA from 1 species